CCUACGGGAGGCAGCAGUGGGGAAUAUUGCACAAUGGGGGAAACCCUGAUGCAGCGACGCCGCGUGAGUGAAGAAGUAUUUCGGUACGUAAAGCUCUAUCAGCAGGGAAGAAAAUGACGGUACCUGACUAAGAAGCCCCGGCUAACUACGUGCCAGCAGCCGCGGUAAUACGUAGGGGGCGAGCGUUAUCCGGAUUUACUGGGUGUAAAGGGAGCGUAGACGGCAGCGCAAGUCUGGAGUGAAAUCCCAUGGCUUAACCAUGGAACUGCUUUGGAAACUGUGCAGCUAGAGUGCAGGAGAGGUAAGCGGAAUUCCGAGUGUAGCGGUGAAAUGCGUAGAUAUUAGGAGGAACACCAGUGGCGAAGGCGGCUUACUGGACUGUAACUGACGUUGAGGCUCGAAAGCGUGGGGAGCAAACAGGAUUAGAUACCCGAGUAGUC
rnacentral:rRNA from 1 species